rnacentral:rRNA from 1 species
UGUGAGCUCGAUGAGUAGGGCGGGACACGUGGUAUCCUGUCUGAAUAUGGGGGGACCAUCCUCCAAGGCUAAAUACUCCUGACUGACCGAUAGUGAACCAGUACCGUGAGGGAAAGGCGAAAAGAACCCCGGCGAGGGGAGUGAAAAAGAACCUGAAACCGUGUACGUACAAGCAGUGGGAGCACGCUUAGGCGUGUGACUGCGUACCUUUUGUAUAAUGGGUCAGCGACUUAUAUUCUGUAGCAAGGUUAACCGAAUAGGGGAGCCGAAGGGAAACCGAGUCUUAACUGGGCGUUAAGUUGCAGGGUAUAGACCCGAAACCCGGUGAUCUAGCCAUGGGCAGGUUGAAGGUUGGGUAACACUAACUGGAGGACCGAACCGACUAAUGUUGAAAAAUUAGCGGAUGACUUGUGGCUGGGGGUGAAAGGCCAAUCAAACCGGGAGAUAGCUGGUUCUCCCCGAAAGCUAUUUAGGUAGCGCCUCGUGAAUUCAUCUCCGGGGGUAGAGCACUGUUUCGGCAAGGGGGUCAUCCCGACUUACCAACCCGAUGCAAACUGCGAAUACCGGAGAAUGUUAUCACGGGAGACACACGGCGGGUGCUAACGUCCGUCGUGAAGAGGGAAACAACCCAGACCGCCAGCUAAGGUCCCAAAGUCAUGGUUAAGUGGGAAACGAUGUGGGAAGGCCCAGACAGCCAGGAUGUUGGCUUAGAAGCAGCCAUCAUUUAAAGAAAGCGUAAUAGCUCACUGGUCGAGUCGGCCUGCGCGGAAGAUGUAACGGGGCUAAACCAUGCACCGAAGCUGCGGCAGCGACGCUUAUGCGUUGUUGGGUAGGGGAGCGUUCUGUAAGCCUGUGAAGGUGUACUGUGAGGUAUGCUGGAGGUAUCAGAAGUGCGAAUGCUGACAUAAGUAACGAUAAAGCGGGUGAAAAGCCCGCUCGCCGGAAGACCAAGGGUUCCUGUCCAACGUUAAUCGGGGCAGGGUGAGUCGACCCCUAAGGCGAGGCCGAAAGGCGUAGUCGAUGGGAAACAGGUUAAUAUUCCUGUACUUGGUGUUACUGCGAAGGGGGGACGGAGAAGGCUAUGUUGGCCGGGCGACGGUUGUCCCGGUUUAAGCGUGUAGGCUGGUUUUCCAGGCAAAUCCGGAAAAUCAAGGCUGAGGCGUGAUGACGAGGCACUACGGUGCUGAAGCAACAAAUGCCCUGCUUCCAGGAAAAGCCUCUAAGCAUCAGGUAACAUCAAAUCGUACCCCAAACCGACACAGGUGGUCAGGUAGAGAAUACCAAGGCGCUUGAGAGAACUCGGGUGAAGGAACUAGGCAAAAUGGUGCCGUAACUUCGGGAGAAGGCACGCUGAUAUGUAGGUGAAGUCCCUCGCGGAUGGAGCUGAAAUCAGUCGAAGAUACCAGCUGGCUGCAACUGUUUAUUAAAAACACAGCACUGUGCAAACACGAAAGUGGACGUAUACGGUGUGACGCCUGCCCGGUGCCGGAAGGUUAAUUGAUGGGGUCAGCGCAAGCGAAGCUCUUGAUCGAAGCCCCGGUAAACGGCGGCCGUAACUAUAACGGUCCUAAGGUAGCGAAAUUCCUUGUCGGGUAAGUUCCGACCUGCACGAAUGGCGUAAUGAUGGCCAGGCUGUCUCCACCCGAGACUCAGUGAAAUUGAACUCGCUGUGAAGAUGCAGUGUACCCGCGGCAAGACGGAAAGACCCCGUGAACCUUUACUAUAGCUUGACACUGAACAUUGAGCCUUGAUGUGUAGGAUAGGUGGGAGGCUUUGAAGUGUGGACGCCAGUCUGCAUGGAGCCGACCUUGAAAUACCACCCUUUAAUGUUUGAUGUUCUAACGUUGACCCGUAAUCCGGGUUGCGGACAGUGUCUGGUGGGUAGUUUGACUGGGGCGGUCUCCUCCUAAAGAGUAACGGAGGAGCACGAAGGUUGGCUAAUCCUGGUCGGACAUCAGGAGGUUAGUGCAAUGGCAUAAGCCAGCUUGACUGCGAGCGUGACGGCGCGAGCAGGUGCGAAAGCAGGUCAUAGUGAUCCGGUGGUUCUGAAUGGAAGGGCCAUCGCUCAACGGAUAAAAGGUACUCCGGGGAUAACAGGCUGAUACCGCCCAAGAGUUCAUAUCGACGGCGGUGUUUGGCACCUCGAUGUCGGCUCAUCACAUCCUGGGGCUGAAGUAGGUCCCAAGGGUAUGGCUGUUCGCCAUUUAAAGUGGUACGCGAGCUGGGUUUAGAACGUCGUGAGACAGUUCGGUCCCUAUCUGCCGUGGGCGCUGGAGAACUGAGGGGGGCUGCUCCUAGUACGAGAGGACCGGAGUGGACGCAUCACUGGUGUUCGGGUUGUCAUGCCAAUGGCACUGCCCGGUAGCUAAAUGCGGAAGAGAUAAGUGCUGAAAGCAUCUAAGCACGAAACUUGCCCCGAGAUGAGUUCUCCCUGACUCCUUGA